UCCGGUGUGGUCUAGUGGCUAGGAUAUCUGGCUGUCACCCAGGAAGCCCGGGUUUGAUUCCCGGCGUCGGAA
rnacentral:tRNA from 1 species